UCGAUUACAUUACAACUGUCCUCAGCUUAUCUGAACACUUUUAUAGUACCCGAUGUUUGGAAGACGGGCAGUCUGAUCCCGCUAUUGAGACCUGAAAAUGACACGAGCAAGGGGGAGUCGUACAGACCGAUCACUCUUCUCUCAUCAGCAUUCAAGACGCAUGAGGGACUACUCCUCCCGCUCCUCUCGUUGGACAAUUUAUAUUCGCCAAGCAUCAGCAUGCAUUUCAAAGGAUGGAUAGGACUACAACUGCUUUAUAUGCCAUCACCGUAUAUAAAUGUACACUUGUUCUGCUGACAAAGAUACCUUGAACUAACAAUCUAAUGCUUACGGAUAUUGUGACUUGAUAAAUUGUUAGGUUAGGUUAGGUCCAUUGUGAUACCACAGGAACAGAAGAAGGAAGAUGCCUUCUUGUUCUUACCGUUGACUCAUCCAGAUCGUUUUAAAAAGCCCAGUAACUUACGAAUGAUAAAUUGUUGCGACCACUGAUGUCAGGCUAAAGGAUCUUUCUAUUUGGUCAUGUUUCGGCUCCGGACACUUUGUUAUCAUUUAAGAUAUCUGUAUCCGUUCCCAAUUGGCAGACUUAUUUUCACAAAUUUUUUUUAAUCCCACUGUGCGUCACUUUUUUAACUGCUCUGCUAGACCCAAUCAAUCCCAUGGCAGCAUCUUCCCUCCUUAACAAAUUCAAAGGAACGGUGUUGGUUUCAUCGUAGCUCUUCGAUGAGGACGAUUCCAUCAAAACCCUUAAGAAACCGAUAAUUGCUCUUCUCUUGGUGUCUGGAAGGAUACAGCGGAACAAAUGUUUGAGUUCCCGAACACAGUUAACACAAAGCUGUAUCACAUACAUAGUUAUCGAUACCAUGCGACAACACGUGGUUUCCACUGUAUCAAGGGGGAUAAUAUUUUUUUUUUUUUGGUUUUAAUUGACGCUUUUGGUGGAACACCAGAGGUGUACAUUCACCGGGACUGGAUAAGUGUUUAUACAAUGAAAAAAUGAGAUGGUCCUCAUCUUCUACGACGUUACAUAAGCUGCACAGGUUGCUCUCCAGGAUUCCUACCCUGUUAUUUUUCCGAUUAGAUUUUGUGUGUCCGUUGCCGAAAAGUUGUGCCGUAUUGAACAACAAGCUUCAACUGCGUGCCUCGCAAAAUAAUCCGCUUUCUCAUUUGGUGCAAAUCCUACAUGUGAAGUCCUCCAGAUAACUUUGGAGGCUUGGAUUGCUUAUCGAUCAAGGGAAACAAAUUUUCAUAUUGUGGAUCAUCAAGUACCGCAUGGUAAUUGUUAGUAGGCACAUUUGCGGAAUCUAAUGACGAGUGAUCAUUCUAAUAACAAACAAUACUCGAACAGGGUCCUUGCCUUGACCGCAGAGGGGAUACCACUUUUUUGAACGGCACCGAAGAGCAACCUUCCACAAUUCUUGCAAAUGCGAAUAGCCAAAGCAUAAAGCUCGGCUGCAGCUUUGGUAUUGAACAUAUUUACUGUUGUUAUUUUCCUUUCAGAUAUAAUACCAACUUUGAUUGUUUCAGAAGGCAUGAAUUUAUCACUGCCAUCCCUCCUAUUAAACCUGAAUACAGACACUGCAUCGAAAUCAUUAUUGUUAUUGUUUAUACUUUCCAUUAUCAUUUCACCAGUAAAUUAUAAUGGAGAUUUUUUGUAAAAAAUACUCCGGUAUUAAGGCUUCCAAGCCAAUGCCAUUUAGGGCGGGAUUAACUGCAAAAUUAUUGGCUGCUAUGUAAUUAUUAAAAGAAAGUCUGAAUGUUUUAUUAGCAAUGUUUUUGGAGAUAAAAUGUUCACUUAUAUUCGCUUUUUUCAAUUUUGCAUAUAAAAAUAAUUCAGAAUUUUUCCUUCUAGCACUGAUUGGUUCUUCGGAUGAUACUAGAACAUAAAAAGGGUCCGGUGAGAUUCGGAGUAAAGCACUUGUUUAUUUUCAUAAGGAUUGUAUUUAAUUGAAUUUGUUUUCUAUUUUUUUUCCAUUGUUGCAGUUGAAGUACCAGCAUUUGCAUCACUAAAUUUAUUUUGUUUUUUUCGUUCA
rnacentral:sRNA from 1 species